rnacentral:snoRNA from 1 species
AUGAAUGCUCUCAAAGAAUUCUUUAUGAUUCUAGGAUGCAGGCUGCUUUAGAAUCUUGUCGAUAGACAGUCACACACAUCCAAAUACAUGGUUCCUGCCGACAGGGUCUGUAUAGUUAUCAGAUUUUCUGUGCGAUAGCUCCAUACAAG